rnacentral:lncRNA from 1 species
UUAUUUUUAUAAUGUACAUGUGAGCAAUUUAUAUGAAGAUUAUAGAGCUACUUUCCAUUAUAUUUCAUAAUGCCGGAGGUGGCUAGUUUAUAUAUAAAUUUAGGGUUGAGGAUUACUUUAGACUGUUUCCAUAACUAUUAUUAUCAAUGAUGAUUAGAGGCUACUUAGGGUCCAUUUGGCACAGCUUUGGCUCCUGAAAAAACAGAUCUGGCUCUGGCUCAUCUGGAAAAGCAGCUUUAUUUUUUUGGCUCUGGCUUAUUUUGUAGGAAAACGUUUGGCAAAACGGCUUCUCCUAGCUUUUUAGAUCGGAAAUGAGAUGUCAAUGUCCAAACUACCCUUAUAUUUCUUUUUUCUCUUUUCAUUUUCUUUUUCUCUUCAUUUUUCUUUCCUUUUUCUUUCCUUUUUUAUUUCUCUUUUCCUUCUCCCGUUCUUUUUUCCCUCCCCUCUCCUUAUCCGAUCGGCUUCUUCCCUUCUUUUCUUUCCCCCUCCUCUCUCCUUAUCCAAACGGCACCCGCUCCUUCACCCCGG